rnacentral:rRNA from 1 species
UACGUAGGUGGCAAGCGUUGUCCGGAUUUACUGGGCGUAAAGAGCGCGCAGGCGGUCGUCCAAGUCGCGUGUGAAAGCCCCCGGCUCAACUGGGGAGGGUCACGCGAUACUGGUCGACUCGAAGGCAGGAGAGGGUAGUGGAAUUCCCGGUGUAGUGGUGAAAUGCGCAGAUAUCGGGAGGAACACCAAUGGCGAAGGCAGCUCGCUGGGACGGUACUGACGCCGAGACGCGAAAGCGUGGGGAGCAAACAGG